AGAAUCAACGCUGGCGGCGUGCCUAACACAUGCAAGUCGAACGAGAAAGGGUAGCAAUACCUGAGUAAAGUGGCGCACGGGUGAGUAACACGUGACUAACCUACCUUUUAGUGGGGGAUAACCUAGGGAAACCUGGGCUAAUACCGCAUAAUACCUACGGGUCAAAGCAGCAAUGCGCUGGAAGAGGGGGUCGCGGCCGAUUAGCUAGUUGGCGGGGUAAUGGCCCACCAAGGCAGUGAUCGGUAUCCGGCCUGAGAGGGCGCACGGACACACUGGAACUGAAACACGGUCCAGACUCCUACGGGAGGCAGCAGUGGGGAAUUUGCGCAAUGGGGGAAACCCUGACGCAGCAACGCCGCGUGGAGGACGAAGACCCUUGGGUCGUAAACUCCUUUCGAUCGGGACAUAAUGACGGUACCGGAAGAAGAAGCCCCGGCUAACUUCGUGCCAGCAGCC
rnacentral:rRNA from 1 species